UGUGAUGGUCCAUCCCAGAUGCCUCCGAGCCCAGAGAAGUCGACGGCGCUUCUGGACACUGUUAACAUAGGGCUUCCUUUUGGCACAGUACAGUUUUAACUGGCAUUUGUGGAUGUAACUACGUAUUGUGGGAUCGGAGAUCACGGUUGUUCAGCUUAGGCUUGCGCCCUUGUCCUUUACGCACUGAAAUUCCUCCACAUUCCUUGAAUCUUUUAAUUAUGUUAUGCACUGUUGAAGGUGAAAUAAGCAAA